UCUCAGCCGGGCGCGGUGGCUCACACCUGUAAUCCCAGCACUUUGGGAGGCCGAGGCAGGCAGAUCACGAGGUCAGGAGAUCGAGACCAUCCUGGCUAACACAGUGAAACUCUGUUUCUACUAAAAAUACAAAAAAUUAGCCGGGCAUGGUGGCAGGGACCUGCAGUGCCAGCUACUCGGGAGGCUGAGGCAGGAGAAUUGUUUGAACCCGCGAGGUGGAGGUUGCAAUGAGCCGAAAUUGCGCCACAGCAUUCUGGCCUGGCAACAGAGCAAGACUCUGCCU
rnacentral:lncRNA from 10 species